rnacentral:rRNA from 1 species
ACGGGUGAGUAAUAUAUGAGAAUCUGCCUUUUAGUGGAGAAUACCUUCGAGAAAUUGAAGUUAAUACUGCAUAUGUCCUUCGGGAGAAAGAUGGCCUCUUUGCUGUCGCUAAAAGAUGAGCUCAUACACUAUCAGCUAGUUGGUGGGGUAAAGGCCUACCAAGGCUAUGACGGUUAGCCGGCCUGAGAGGGUGUACGGCCACACUGGAACUUAGACACGGUCCAGACUCCUACGGGAGGCAGCAGUGGGGAAUAUUGCGCAAUGGGCGAAAGCCUGACGCAGCGACGCCGCGUGGAGGAUGAAGGUCUUAGGAUUGUAAACUUCUGUUAAGUGGGAAGAAAAGUCUGCGUUUAAUACAUGCGGAAAAUGACGGUACCAUUAGAGAAAGCACCGGCUAACUUCGUGCCAGCAGCCGCGGUAAUACGAAGGGUGCAAGCGUUAUUCGGAAUCAUUGGGCGUAAAGGGUGUGUAGACGGUGUGUUAAGUUUAUUGUUAAAUCUUCUGGCCUAACCGGAAAUCAGCAGUGGAUACUGGCGCACUAGAGGGUGGAAGAGAGAAGUGGAAUUCUCGGAGUAGCGGUAAAAUGC